rnacentral:rRNA from 1 species
GUAGGUGGCAAGCGUUGUCCGGAAUUAUUGGGCGUAAAGCGCGCGCAGGCGGUUCUUUAAGUCUGAUGUGAAAGCCCACGGCUCAACCGUGGAGGGUCAUUGGAAACUGGAGAACUUGAGUACAGAAGAGGAAAGCGGAAUUCCACGUGUAGCGGUGAAAUGCGUAGAGAUGUGGAGGAACACCAGUGGCGAAGGCGGCUUUCUGGUCUGUAACUGACGCUGAGGCGCGAAAGCGUGGGGGAGCAAACAGGAUUAGAUACCCUGGCAGUCCACGCCGUAAACGAUGAGUGCUAAGUGUUAGGGGGUUUCCGCCCCCCCCUUAGUGCUGCAGCUAACGCAUUAAGCACUCCGCCUGGGAGUACGGCCGCAAGGCUG